rnacentral:rRNA from 1 species
UACGUAGGGGGCAAGCGUUGUCCGGAUUAUUGGGCGUAAAGAGCGUGUAGGCGGCCAUACAGGUCAGCUGUGAAAACUCGAGGCUCAACCUGAGACGUCGGUUGAAACCGUAUGGCUAGAGUCCGGAAGAGGAGAGUGGAAUUCCCAGUGUAGCGGUGAAAUGCGCAGAUAUCGGGAAGAACACCCGUGGCGAAGGCGGCUCUCUGGGACGGUACUGACGCUGAGACGCGAAAGCGUGGGGAGCAAACAGG